rnacentral:rRNA from 1 species
CCUACGGGGGGCAGCAGUGGGGAAUAUUGGGCAAUGGGCGAAAGCCUGACCCAGCCACGCCGCGUGAAGGAAGAAGGCUUUCGGGUUGUAAACUUCUUUUGACAGGGAAGAGCAGAGGACGGUACCUGUCGAUUAAGACACAGCUAACUACGUGCCAGCAGCCGCGGUAAUACGUAGGGUGCAGGCGUUGUCCGGAUUUACUGGGUGUAAAGGGCGCGUAGGCGGGCUGGCAAGUCAGAUGUGAAAUCCGGGGGCUCAACCCCUGAACUGCCUUUGAAACUGGUGGUCUUGAGUCUCGGAGAGGCAGGCGGAAUUCCUAGUGUAGCGGUGAAAUGCGUAGAUAUGAGGAGGAACACCAGUGGCGAAGGCGGCCUGCUGGACGACAACUGACGGUGAGGCGCGAAAGCGUGGGGAGCAAACAGGAUUAGAUACCCGAGUAGUC